rfam:Asian citrus Psyllid, Diaphorina citri - Florida Strain, whole genome shotgun sequence.
GCUCCCAUGGCGUAGUGGUCACUGCGCUCGUCUUGCACGCGGGAGACCCGGGUUCGAAUCCCAGCCUGGGCG